rnacentral:rRNA from 1 species
CCUACGGGAGGCAGCAGUGAGGAAUAUUGGUCAAUGGUCGCGAGCCUGAACCAGCCAAGUAGCGUGAAGGAUGACUGCCCUACGGGUUGUAAACUUCUUUUAUACGGGAAUAAAGUGAGUCACGUGUGCCUUUUUGUAGGUACUUUAUGAAUAAGGAUCGGCUAACUUCGUGCCAGCAGCCGCGGUAAUACGGAGGAUCCGGGCGUUAUCCGGAUUUAUUGGGUUUAAAGGGAGCGUAGGUGGGUUGUUAAGUCAGUUGUGAAAGUUUGUGGCUCAACCGUAGAAUUGCAGUGGAUACUGGCAGUCUUGAGUACAGGUGAGGUAGGCGGAAUUCGUGGUGUAGCGGUGAAAUGCUUAGAUAUCACGAAGAACUCCGAUUGCGAAGGCAGCUUACUAAACUGCCACUGACACUGAAGCUCGAAGGUGCGGGUAUCGAACAGGAUUAGAUACCCGGGUAGUC